GUACUUACCUGGCAGGGGAGAUACCAUGAUCACUAAGGAGGUUUCCUAGGACGAGGCUCACUUAUUGCAUUUUGGGUGUCCUGGCCCUGGUGAUUUUGCCAAAUGUGGGCGACUCGAGUGCAUAAUUUGUGGUAGUGGGGAACUGCGUUCCCGCUUUUUCCUG